ACACCUGUAAACAACAUGAAAGCCCCACGAGGAGGUGUGCCSUGCCUCGUUCUAGCAAACGAACUUACUUCCUGGUAGCUGCUCCUCUUGCUCGGUGUUUUCGUAGUAAGUGGGGGCAGCUUAAAGUCACGGUAGGGGCGGCAGGUUCAGGUUUGCUGUCGCAAGCAAUUACUUUAUCACGGUGGUCUGUUUAGCUCUUUUAAAGAGAGAGAGAGAGAGAAAAUGGGAAGCACGGUGAUGGAGUCCAGCAGCAAGGAAACCUCAAAGAAAAUACCCAAAAAGAAGAAAGGUCUGCGGAUUAACAUGCCAGACUUUGGUGCGUUUACUGCCCCACAGGUGGAGACAAGUGGCUCGACCAAAACUGACUCUCAAAUGGGGGAGCGUCUCAUUCAUUCAGCCAGCCCGGUCAAAGGAGUGAUUUCCAAGAACCCGGCCAGUUCGUCACCGACAACUCAUUCGGCUCCGAUGCAGAUAAAGUACAGUUCAGCCUCCCCCAGGACCAUCUUCCCUUACCCCUCCCAUCAGAACGCCUCGCCCAAGUCCCCCCAUCGGCUAAGCUUCAGCGACAUCUUCAGGUCCAGUUCCCCAAAUGCAAGCAAACGAAUUUUCUCCAGAACCAGAAAACCUUCUGGACUGUCGACACCACCCUCCACCCCGACCCAGGCAUCCAGCCAACCUGUGCUGGGCCCCAGCCCCGACCGCCUGGAGCCCCGCGCUCGAGCUUGCUCCCUCUCCACCCCGCCGGACACAGGACAGCGUCUCAGCUUCGCUUCUGCUAAACCCCCCAUCCCUUCAACAAGCCCUGUGCCUCCCUUCUCUACCUCACAAGUCUGCGGCUUUUUCGAAGGUAUGCUGGAGAAACUUGAACUAGACGAUGAUGCUGCUGAGCCCGAGAGUGAUAUUUACAUGCGCUUUAUGAAAUCCCACAAGUGCUAUGACAUCGUCCCCACGAGCUCCAAGUUGGUUGUGUUCGACACGGCGCUCCAGGUUAAAAAAGCGUUCUUCGCCUUGGUGGCCAACGGCGUUCGAGCAGCUCCACUAUGGGACACAGAGAAACAAAGCUUUGUGGGAAUGCUGACAAUCACAGAUUUCAUCAUCAUACUACACAGAUACUAUAAGUCACCGAUGGUGCAAAUUUAUGAAUUAGAGGAACAUAAGCUGGAGACGUGGCGAGAGGUUUAUCUUCAAGCUACGUUCAAACCUCUGGUCAACAUAUCACCGGAAGCAAGCCUUUUUGAUGCAGUUUACACCCUCAUCAAAAACAAAAUUCACCGCCUGCCUGUCAUCGACCCCGUCACAGGGAAUGCACUUUAUAUUCUCACACACAAGAGGAUCCUCAAGUUUCUCCAACUGUUUAUGUGUGAAAUGCCAAAGCCAGCGUUCAUGAAGCAGACUCUGGGGGAGCUGGGCAUCGGGACGUACCACGACAUCGCUUUCAUCCACCCAGACACGCCCAUUAUCAAAGCGCUCAACAUCUUUGUGGAGAGACGAGUAUCYGCUUUGCCUGUCGUUGACGAUUCAGGCAAAGUGGUGGAUAUUUACUCCAAGUUUGAUGUGAUUAACUUGGCUGCAGAGAAGACGUACAAUAAUUUGGACAUUACAGUGACGCAGGCUCUGAAACAUCGCUCUCAGUACUUUGAAGGAGUUAUGAAGUGCCAUAAAAUGGAAACUAUGGAGACAAUUGUGGACAGAAUAGUCAAAGCAGAAGUGCAUCGGUUGGUGGUGGUGGACAAGUGCUCCAGUAUUGAGGGCAUAGUUUCUCUUUCAGACAUCCUCCAGGCCCUGGUGCUCAGCCCUGCAGGUAUAGAUGCUCAGCAUUGGUAGCCCCAAUUCCCCCCACUGUCCUGGACCCCCGAGCUUUCCCCUCCCACCAAUCCUCUUAGCCCUGUCCCAGAUGCCUGUAAGGAGGAGAGCCUGACUGAAUGAGAGGACGGUGCGUCAGUUUCGUGUGAAUUACAAAAGGAAAAUAAAUGAAUACAUAAUAGAAACGUUCAGGCAGAGCGUGUGAAUCUGAGUGRAAGUCGUGGAGACGCCUGCCCGUCGGUGUGCGGUUUAAAAAAAGAAAAAGGUUUGAAUCCAAAGAGUUUGACAGUGGAGUGAAGUGGACUUUCUGCACAGAGAGAUUUGUUUUUCUCUUUGUUUGAACACUGAUCCGAUGUCACGUCACAGAUAUAUUAAAGUAUAUGCACACACCUAUAGGCGAGUCCAUAACAUUAACCUAUAUGGGGAAGUGGGAGGGGGGGGGGUGGAUCUGAGCAUCAGUGUGGUCACAUUCAUGCUGCUGUAUUUCCAGCUGAUGUGUUCGCCUCCAGGUGAGCCUUUAACACAUGCAGCUUUGUUCAUGUAGCACAACUCCACUUUCCCCACAGCGAGUUAAUGACUGUUAUUAGAGACGGUUUGUUGGUGCCAACACAGACCGCUCAGUUCUUAUUUGUGCCUUUGGUUCCCCCCCUCCCCUCCCUGCUUCAGUUUGCAUCUAAAAAUGUUUAUUUUAGAUUGAAAUGUGGCUGAAAUAUGGACAUAGAUGGUUAUAUGUUAUUUUUUACCUUCAUUUGGUUGCGUUGUGGGUUUUGCGGAGCUCAGAGGAACACUUCUUGGUCAGUGGUGGAGUUUUCUAAUAUAACUUAAGAAAUCCAUAACGGUGAGACCAGAUUAUAAAAAUGUUUUUAAAGGUUUAAAUCCUAUUUUUCUUCUUAAAUGGUUAAAAUGCUUCUUACCAGUAUGCAAAGCGAUUUGUUCAUCUCGGCUGGAACUCGGCAGGACUCAUCUCCGUCUUCACCUGUAAAUGGGUUUGUUCUCAGAAAAGGAAAGAGUGGGGGUAAAAUUUAAAAUAAAAAGUGUGACAAAGCUUUAUUUUUAUGAAUGUGUUUAGAGAUUCUGCAGUUUUAAUGUUAUUUUUGUAAAUAUAUUGUGACAAUAUGUUUAGUUCAGAGAAACUUUGUAUCAGAUCGACAUGUACUGUAAAUGUUCAAGCAUGACAAACUACACUUCAGCAGAAUGAAUGUUUUUUGUUUUACUAUUUUUUGUUCUAUUUUUCUGGCUGCAGAAAAAUAAAGACACUGAAUGUA